UAAUACGGGGGGAGCUAGCGUUUUUCGGAAUUACUGGGCGUAAAGGGCGUGUAGGCGGUUAAUAAAGUUGAAAGUGAAAUCCCUGGGCUUAACCUAGGAACUGCUUUCAAAACUCAUUAACUAGAGAACGAUAGAGGAUAGUAGAAUUCCUAGUGUAGAGGUGAAAUUCUUAGAUAUUAGGAGGAAUACCGGUGGCGAAGGCGGCUAUCUGGGUCGUUUCUGACGCUAAGGCGCGAAAGCGUGGGGAGCAAACAGGAUUAGAUACCCUGGUAGUCCACGCUGUAAACGAUGAGUGUUAGGUGUUGGGGCCGCAAGGCUUCAGUGCCGCAGCAAACGCAUUAAACACUCCGCCUGGGGAGUAAGGUCGCAAGAUUA
rnacentral:rRNA from 1 species